UACAGAGGGGGCAAGCGUUGUUCGGAAUUACUGGGCGUAAAGGGCGCGUAGGCGGCCUUCUAAGUCGAACGUGAAAUCCCCGGGCUCAACCCGGGAACUGCGUCCGAGACUGAAAGGCUUGAAUCCGGGAGAGGGAUGCGGAAUUCCAGGUGUAGCGGUGAAAUGCGUAGAUAUCAGGAGGAACACCGGUGGCGAAGGCGGUUCUCUGGGCAUUACCUGACGCUGAGGAGCGAAAGCAUGGGGAGCGAACAGG
rnacentral:rRNA from 1 species